CUUGGUCAUUUAGAGGAAGUAAAAGUCAUAACAAGGUUUCCGUAGGUGAACCUGCGGAAGGAUCAUUAAUAGUGCCCAUUGAUGCAAAUCAUUGGGUUAGAUCUGCCCUUAUCGCAAGAUGAGGGCUUCCAUAUACACCGUGAACUGUGGCUUCGGCCAUCACAAACUGUUAGUAAUGAAUGUAAUAUCAUAACAAAAACAAAACUUUUAACAACGGAUCUCUUGGCUCUCGCAUCGAUGAAGAACGCAGCGAAAUGCGAUAAGUAAUGUGAAUUGCAGAAUUCAGUGAAUCAUCGAAUCUUUGAACGCACCUUGCGCCCUUUGGUAUUCCGAAGGGCAUGCCUGUUUGAGUGUCAUGAAACCUCACCCCACUUAGGUUUUUGCCUAAGCGGUGGUGUAUUGGGUGUUUGCCUUGCUAAAGGCUCGCCUUAAAGAUAUAAGCACCUUGGAUGUAAUACGUUUCAUCCUUCUGGGUGGCUGAUAACCCCACAUAUUCAUGAUCUGGCCUCAAAUCAGGUAGGGCUACCCGCUGAACUUAAGCAUAUCAAUAAGCGGAGGAAAAGAAACUAACUAGGAUUCCCUUAGUAACGGCGAGUGAACCGGGAUGAGCUCAAAUUUAAAAUCUGGCGUCUUUCAGGCGUCCGAGUUGUAAUCUAUAGAGGCGUUUUCCGCGCCGGACCGCGUCCAAGUCUCUUGGAAUAGAGUAUCAAAGAGGGUGACAGUCCCGUACUUGACGCGACAACCGGUGCUCUGUGAUACGUUCUCAAUGAGUCGAGUUGUUUGGGAAU
rnacentral:sRNA from 1 species